rnacentral:rRNA from 1 species
GACGGAAGGUGCAAGCGUUGCUCGGAAUCACUGGGCGUAAAGGGUGCGUAGGCGGCUUGGUGGGUCUGGUGUGAAAGCCCCGGGGCUCAGCCCCGGGAAGGGCGCUAGAAACUGCCGAGCUCGAGUGCCGGAGGGGAGAGUGGAAUUCCUGGUGUAGCGGUGAAAUGCGUAGAUAUCUGGAGGAACACCGGUGGCGAAGGCGGCAUCCUGGACCGGCAUUGACGCUGAGGCGCGAAAGCCAGGGGAGCAAACGGGG